rnacentral:lncRNA from 1 species
AGAAAUUCCUGGCUCUCCCCUGGAUCCUGACCAUCACGUGGCUACAGAAAUGUCGACUCUCCUCAGAAGAGAACAAGGCUGCCCCCCGGCCUUCAGCCCAGCUCUCCUGUUUUCUCAUCACCUCAGCAGGACAGGAAAGACAGAGGCUGCCAGAACCAAGGCCCGUACCUGUUUGCCUCUUUACCCCUGAGAGCUCCCUGGGGCUCCUGGGGACUCCUCAGCUUGCUGCUGCUGCUGGUAAGUCGCUUCAGUCAUGUCCGAUUCUGUGUGACCCCAUAGAUGGCAGCUCACCAGGCUCCCCUGUCCCUGGGAUUCUCCAGGCAAGAACACUGGAGUGGGGUGCCAUUUCCUUCUCCAGUGCAUGAAAGUGA